UACAGAGGUCUCAAGCGUUGUUCGGAUUCAUUGGGCGUAAAGGGUGCGUAGGCGGCGCGGUAAGUCGGGUGUGAAAUCUCGGAGCUUAACUCCGAAACUGCAUUCGAUACUGCCGUGCUUGAGGACUGGAGAGGAGACUGGAAUUUACGGUGUAGCGGUGAAAUGCGUAGAUAUCGUAAGGAAGACCAGUGGCGAAGGCGGGUCUCUGGACAGUUCCUGACGCUGAGGCACGAAGGUCCAGGGGAGCAAACGGGAUUA
rnacentral:rRNA from 1 species